UACGUAGGGUGCAAGCGUUGUCCGGAAUUAUUGGGCGUAAAGAGCUCGUAGGCGGUUUGUCGCGUCUGCUGUGAAAACGCGGGGCUCAACUCCGCGCCUGCAGUGGGUACGGGCAGACUAGAGUGCAGUAGGGGAGACUGGAAUUCCUGGUGUAGCGGUGGAAUGCGCAGAUAUCAGGAGGAACACCGGUGGCGAAGGCGGGUCUCUGGGCAGUAACUGACGCUGAGGAGCGAAAGCGUGGGGAGCGAACAGG
rnacentral:rRNA from 1 species